CUCGGGCGUAGCUCUCAGAGGCGGAGGCGUCCGGCCCCACACUUGGUGCCAACAAGAUCCCACAGCUAUGGGCCCGGACAGACGUGGGACAGAGAGACUGGCCAACUGGGGUGAGCACAGAGGUGCACAGGCGAAUGCCCGGCACCCGAGGACAGGUCCAGGGAACCGGUCCCCUUCAUGGAUCAUAUCACACCUCUGGCUGGGGGACCCCUGACUCCCCCCCGUCCCUAAGAUCAAGCCACAUCUGCUCAACAGCCCGGCGAGGCCACCCCCCAGCCGCGUCUGGCCCACGGUUAAGGCCAGCAAAUCAAGGCUGGAAGAAUGCUUGCGGAAGAAAGGAAACUAAACAGCGUGAUUUUUUUCCUUGCGACUUGGAUUUGAGGGGGAGAUCCAAGGUUCACAGUGCCAGGGCCAGAGUCCCCAGGAAUGGCAGAAAGGCCCAGCAGACUCGAGGCUCCCAUGGGAUACAGGCCAGGCCCUCAAGGCCCAGCCAGCAGCUGCAGAACUGUCUGCCCUGCACACCUGCCAGGACACAGCCAGAGCACAAACAAAAGUCCAGGGAACGUGUGGCCACAGGCUCUCUGUGUCCGAUGGCAACUGUCGGGGAUGCGGUGGAGAUGCACCAGCUGGAGAGGAGCUGAGCCUUCCCUGGGGGACAAGCAGGUGUGCUGUCGGAACGCGCCCUUCCCGCCCCUAAGCAGAAAGGGCACUGCCAACCUUUGGGAGGGAGUCCACAGACCACAAGCACAAAGCCAGCCCAUCGGAGCGCCCAGGCCACGCUGGACAGGGCUGGGCCCCGGAAGCUGGGAUGAGCGGAAGGUACCACCUCUGCAUGGGGGGGGCACCGAGCCCAGGCUGAGGAGGGGGUUCCGGCUCCAACAGUGGGGCCUCUGCUGUUCCAGAAUGUUUCAAACUGACCCGUGGAACUGAACUGUCUCGUUUCCCUGACCAAGGGCUCAUGAUCCGCACACCCCAAGAUGCACUGUGGUUCCCUAGGGAGGGGGGCGGGUCCCCAAGUCAGCGUGGCCGCAUCCCCUGGGGGGGAGCAGGAGCCUGCACGGACUUGCGGGUCGCCUGCGCCCCCUUCUGGCCUCGAGGCAGGCCCUGUGGAGCCUGAGGCGGAGCAGAACAGACAGCAGCGCAGGGGUGACGGGAUGUGGCCUUCUCCCUCCUGAGACCUCUGACCACAGGGCAGGCACCGGAGGCCCUGCCGUGGAAGCCUGACCAGGCUCGUCUGGCCCUGACUCUGAAUGGUGAGGGGACCGCCCCCCGCCCCCGCUCCCGGUCCCCUAGCAGAGCAGGGACCUGGCAGCCAGCACCGGCCGGAGACCAGCGGAGCCGGCACCCUGGGCCGCCACCCCCACCUCCUGCUUGGUAACAGCCUGUAAUCAGCCGGCCUGGCUCCGGUGAUGCCGCCCAGGCCGCAAUCCUACCCGGGCGCAGAGGUCUGGGAAUGCUCUGGAAUGCCCGGAGCGCCAGGACCCGAGGGCAGAUUCCGGGCUGCUCCCGCGCUCACAGACCUCAUUAAUUAUCCUGCCGGGACGGGGAGGCAGGCACGGCCCCAGGAAUCCUGAACAUGGGCAGCCGGCCUUCCCUGGCAUUUGUCCCCAAACAGCUCUAGCUCUGACGGCAGGGGCUCAGCAGGCAGGUGCGGAGGUAGGGUAGACACCAGGCUGGGACACCCGACCCAGAGGCCAGGAAGCAGCCAGGGGCUCUGAGCUCACAGGGCCCACUGCCCAGGCCCCCCGCUCCACCAGGUCUCAGGGCACUGCCAGGCUCGGGGACAGGGACCAGGCAGCGCCCUGAGACCCAGCAGGAUCCAAUGCUGGGGAUGGGGGCACAACCAGUCCCUGAACGGCUCCUGAGCGCAGGAUUGCCCUGGGCACCCCAGAACCAGAACCCACAGCUCAGUCCAGCAACUACUACGCGUAUUGACUCAUUGAGGUGCCAGGGCGCUACGGGGUGAGAGGUGAGCACCAGGGGGAAGGAGCAGGUUAUUGAUGAGAAGGGGCCCCCAGUGGGGGUGUUGGCAGUGGUCCUGGGUACCCCGAGGGGCCUCAGAAGGCAGCCCCUUUCGCCAGAGCAGGACGGUGUGUCCCCACGAGGCUGGCAGGAGGGCACAGAAGGCUUCAUGCUGAGUUCCCUCCCACACCCCACUCUGGGGCAGGGGCCCAGCAGCUGCACUGUGAGGGUCUCUCUCCAGUGCCCAGGCCAAGAGCCUCCCAAGUCCUGGGACCCCUCCCACAUGGCACUCCCCUCCCCAGCCUCCUCAAGCCCCCUCUGCUGCCCCCGUGCCCACCCUUGACACGGGCCCUUCAGCCCCUCCUGGUGUGGGUGCCCGCCCGGGUCACCACGCAGGGCUGGGAGCACUUAUCCAGGCCUCCAGCGGGGCUUCUCUGCUCCUCUCCCCUGCGGAGAAAGCCUGAGCCGGGGAGGGUGCAGGGGGUGCGAGGUCUCAGGGCCGGCACCCCCGCCCCACUCAGCCUGGCCAGGCGGGCCUGCGCCCAGAAUAGAAAGCGCCCAGCCACCCACCACAGCCGGCCAGGGGCUGGGAAACCAGGCACCACUGCUCCCUGGCGAGUGGGCAGCUUCCUGGCUUCACCAGCCCCGCGGCUGCCAGGAGAGGUCAGCCAGAGGCCCGGGCAUGGCCCUCUACCCCAGACACACCCAGGGAGCUCCUGUCCCAGCACGGCGAUGAUCUGGGACCUGUGCAGGGCACCUGGGCUGCACAGAUCCCCCCGGGCACCAUCCAGGCCCACCCACCCCAGCGGGGGCCUCCGGGUGCACCCAGAGGCCAUCGGCCAGCACUGAGCCCACCAUGGACCUCAGCAACUCCGCAAGAGCCAGGGCUCAGGGGCCUCAUCUGUAAAAUGGGACAAGCACCCAGCCCACCCAGGAUGCACCUAGGACACGCCCAGGACUGCCCAUGCAGCCCAGAGAAGGGCACUUCACUGGAAGAGUCUGGGACGGCUUCCUGGGGUGUGGACAGGGCAGCGUGACCAAGGCGGGGGGUCGGGGGGCAGACAGCACAUUCACAGGGUCCUUUCAGGAGACCACCCAGGAGGACGAGCAGGGCUGUGGCCUGGGCAGCCCCAGGGAGGCUCUGAGGCCUGUCCUCCUGCGCAGACCCAGCCUGCAUCCUGCCGGGACAGCGGCCCCGCAGGGACAGCGGCACUUGAGAGGCCCCCUCACCAAAAGUCCAGCCUGGAGGCAUGGAGGCAGGUGGGGGAAUUCGCAGACCCCCACUCCCCGGAGGGCCUGUCGCUACAGGGGGAUCCUGCUGUAAUUAUGUCAUUAGAAGACCACCCGGUCUCGGAAGCCAGCCCUGGGAGGGGCCCAGCCCCAUUGUGCACGGAGCAGGCCUGGAAGACACAGUUGCCCUGAAAGACAGAGGCCCUUUGUGGGUGUGGGGGGGCAAACCUGGUGGUUAACCGAUUCAGGGAGCCCACACGAACCCCCCUCCCCGAGUCAGCCGCUUUGAAGGCGCUGGGAGCCGGCGUGCAGGGGGAGAGGGGUCCCCAGGCUGUCCUGCCCUCUGCAGUCCCGCUGCCCUGGAGGGACGUGACCCCAAGGCCAGGCCAAAGGGUCAGGCCACCCACCUCCUCCACUCAGCCCAGCAGCGCCCCCACCAGGCAGAGACAGCCCCCGCUACAGGCCGAGGAGGCCCUGCAGGCCCAGCGCCAGCCCCUGCAGGGGCUUCUGGAGAUUGCGGGAACUGUCCUCAAAGGAGGCCUUCUAAAUCGAGUUUGUGCAGAGGAGCCAAAGGCCACAUCGCCCACCGGGCUGGGGCAGGGCCCAGCAAGGGGCCUGGCGGGGCGUUGGCUCUGCACCCCCCUCAGGGAAAGGAGGCCUGGCCACAGCCAAUGCCCGGGAGCUCAGCAGUGUCUGGACUGCCGGCCAGGGGUCAGACUCCCACCCUCAGACCCAGGGGUGGGAGGGCAGCCUGGGAGGGCUGCUUCCUCUCCAUUCAUCAAUUAUCCCCGUUUAGAAACAAAGUCACCCUUGAGCCACGGCCAGGACCCCAGGGCCCGGGCCUGCCUCCAGCCCCCAUGCCCUUGGGGGCAGCCGCCUGCUUCCUGGCAGAACCCAGGGCCCCCACCACUCCCACAGCCCUCCUGCCCAUUCCCGGGCCCCCACCCACCAACUCCCUGCUUCCAGGGGGCGUGGAGGCUCCAGGCAGGACUACCACUGGCUCCCCUUGCAGAGCGGGGCGGUGUGGGGGGGCACAGUCCACACUGGGUCCCCGGGGCAGCCCUCCUGGUUUCAGGUCACUCCAAGUCACACCAGCCAGCUCUGAGGGGCUAUUGAGGCCCCUUGGAAUCCAGGGGAACCUCCCCGCCAGCCCCUCAGGGCUAGGCUGCCUCCCUCUGUUCCUCUGCCCCUGUCUUUCUCCCACCCAACCCACCUGCGUCCUCAGCCCACAGGCCCACCUCCUCCUGGAAGACCUCCGGACCCCUCGGCCCUCCGUUGGGCAUCACACCGGUGCCCUGAGAGCUCAGUGGACCCGAGAGCGAGUCCCACAACUGCCUGAGAGGUGGGCCCAGCCUGCCCAUUUUACAGGUUGAGGAGACAGAGGCCCAGACGGAACCAGGGCCAAAGCUUCUUGGACCACGACGUACCCAGAGGCGACCCAGGCCUCGGACCUCAGAGUCCAGGUCAGGAGAAAUGACCAGCGGGCACUGUCACCACGGAUGACACAAAAGGGAGGAAGCACCUGCUGGGCUCUGGUCAGAGGGAGGAUGGAGCCAUAUCUUCAGAUGCUGCAAACUGUUCCUGGUCCAUUUGAUGGGGCUGAGGCUGUGCCAGGAGCAUCGGAACCCCCCAAGGGUAGGGUGCCCAGGAUAAGCAGGGAGGCCAGCGGUUCUGGGGUGCCCCGAGCCCAGACCACCCAGAGAGAGGCUGCGUGGGAGCUGUACCCCACAGAAGCUCGCACGCUGUGCCUGCCAGGACACCGGGAACAAGGGACAACCCCACCAGGCCACAUCCGCUACGUCCUCAUGCCCAGCAGGCCAGGCUUUUGGGGAGAAGGUGGCCACGCCAUCCCCACAUUUUCCAUCCACCGGGGUGCUCUGUGCCUCACCUGCCUCUGUGACCUGCACAAAGCGCCCCCCAUGCUUUAUCCCCACCUGUCAGAACCGGGAGCUGGGGCGUCCCCUGAGGCCCACAGACGCCACUGGACCACUACCCGGGUGGGUAGGGGCUCUGCUGGGAGGAAGUGCCCAGG